GAUGAGCUCGCGGCCUAUCAGCUUGUUGGUGGGGUAAUGGCCUACCAAGGCGGCGACGGGUAGCCGGCCUGAGAGGGUGGACGGCCACAUUGGGACUGAGAUACGGCCCAGACUCCUACGGGAGGCAGCAGUGGGGAAUAUUGCACAAUGGGCGCAAGCCUGAUGCAGCGACGCCGCGUGGGGGAUGACGGCCUUCGGGUUGUAAACUCCUUUCGCUAGGGACGAAGCUUUUUGUGACGGUACCUAGAUAAGAAGCACCGGCUAACUACGUGCCAGCAGCCGCGGUAAUACGUAGGGUGCGAGCGUUGUCCGGAAUUACUGGGCGUAAAGGGCUCGUAGGUGGUUUGUCGCGUCGUCUGUGAAAUUCCGGGGCUUAACUCCGGGCGUGCAGGCGAUACGGGCAUAACUUGAGUACUGUAGGGGUAACUGGAAUUCCUGGUGU
rnacentral:rRNA from 1 species